CAUAGUCUACUUAAAUUCCUGGGGGAUGAAUCACAGGUGUUCCCAUGAUUUUUGCAAACAAAAGACUCCUCUGGAACAGGGAUCUAUUUUCUGAGCCGUCACAACAAGCGAAUCCCACAGGAUUUAUUAUGCCUGAGUUUACCGUGUGAGCAAUGAGAUGCUUCCCGUUGGCCUCUGACACACCACCAUGAGCUCUCCCAGGAGACCAAGACAUCGUUGUCUUUGUUUAGGUGAAAUACUACAGUCAUUUAGGCACCCUUAAAAAUAUGCCUGGCUCCUUAGAGUCACUGGGCUUCUUAGUGAUUUUUAUCUUAGAAUUUCAGCCUAUUUCCUCGGGAAGUGCUAUUAGCAGCACAGGAUGCAGAACUUGAUCUAGCUAAUGAGCAGACCAUGACACUGGGCAUUUUAAGCCCAAGCUGUGCCUCAAAUGAUCGCUUAAAUCAAGAGAACAAACAGAUCCCUGUUACCCGCGUUGGAAGGAAGGGCGCUCUUCUCCUGCAGAGCUGUUGACAAUGUGAUCCAUGGAACAAUUUCUUGGAAAGAUCGUCCCUUUUCCUGUUGAAUGUUCUGGGAUCGCGAAUUGAAAACCGCGUGCCGCACACGCCGGAGGUUUAUUUCUGUGCGUUCCAUCACAUUUUAUGGCUCUGUACAUCCCUCUUGACGGCUCUCCUACGCUGAUGGGUGCUGAUAGCUUCCACGUGAUCUUGUCUCACCGGAGAAUGGUCCAGACCUCUAACUUCUUUGGCGGCUCACAUGGCGACUGUUCUCGCAGGCCCUCUCUGCCUGCCUUUCCCAGAAUUCUCCUUGUCUCCUAGUCCUGCCUGUCUUCCUGCCUCAUUGGCUGAACAGUGUUUCGUUCAUUAAUCAAUAAGAGAAGCAUAUAUACAGAAGGACAACCCCCAUCAGAUGGGAUUACUCUUAUUUUUUGCAGUAUAAGUAUUGAAAUCAAGAAAGGGAUUUUUGUUGUUUUCAACAUACAGGCGUUAUUCUACUUGGGAGGACGCUAUCUCCCAAGAUGGGAUUAAGCAAGGCACUACUGACCUGCAGAUGGAGACGUCACGGAGACAAUGCUGGGGAACACAAAUAAACAUGAACACAAAGGAAAACAUUGCUGCUUAACUUCCCACACCGGGUCUGAGAGGCGUGGAAAAUGGAAUUUAUCUUGGGAAUGCAGACUCGGGUGUUUGACUAAGACUGCCUGAAAAGCUGACAGUUUAAAAUACAUUUCUUGGUGUUCGAGGCAUCCACAUCCACAUGGACACACUUGCCCCUGAUGUCCUCCAGAAGACUUGCUUGCUUAAGCCUACUUUUAUCCCUUCACUUAUUUGUAUGGCUUCUGCGUGCUGCGGUUGUGUUAAUAGAUUGCCAGCUUAAUUGUGAAUUCCAUCUAGAAGCUUUGGAUCUCAAAUUAGGUUUUUUUUUUUUUAAGAAGUCAAAAGUUGGUCUACAAGGAAAAUUACAGAUGCCUUCUCUGACUUUGGCCCCAUGAGGCUGUCCAGGGCUGGUUGGUUUCAGCAUUAAUUUGAUUAGUUAGUAAUUAGAGUAAACAUUAUCUACCUACUGAUAGAGACUUUGGAUGUUUUAAGUAUUCACACACGCACACACAUACACACACACACACACAUUUAAACUAGACUUGAUAGAUUAUUCACUGAUUUCUAAAGAACUGCUCAACACAGCCUUCCCAGAUAGUCAUAUGGAGAACAAGACCAUGGAGUUAGUUCAUGCACAAUCAAGGAAUUCUCUUCGAGGAAUGUGGAAGCUGAAAUCCUGGAAGGAUGUCAACAGGGGCGUAGGGCAGUCAAGAAAGAGAAUGUUAAUUACAAGUCCAAUUAAACUCUAAAGAAUAAUAAGUCAAGAAGUUGGUCAGGCUGGUUGGACUAAGUGAUACAGGAUCCAAGGCCUCGAAGUAAGGGUCUGAAAGAGAUGACAGGAAACAAAGCCAUCUCGAGAAGUUUUCCUGGGAAGUUUGAGACACUGCCCUGGCAACAUCUCGUGCAGGUUGGUGACACCAGUGACAGAGCUCUCCUUCUAUUAGUGUCGUCCAGACUGGAUGGGUUCCUGUCAUUUGAUGAGAAGGAGGGACAGCUGUUGCAAGCCAGUGUUGCUUUUCUAGCCUGUUAGCUGAAAGAUCUGUGCAGACGUUCAUGCUGGCAAGAAUGAGAAGAUUCACAUACAGAUUCACACACACCAUCUGCAGAGAGCACCUGAAGCUUUGAGAUAACGCUUCUCCUACAUCCAGCCCUCGAACUGUGGAAAUCUCUCAUUGGUAGAGAUGCUAGAAAUACGAAUCUUCUUCAGACAGCACAUGAGGAGAGUAAACAGCCUAAUCAAAGCUCCAAGUCACUCAUCCUUCCUCGGCAGCGACAGGUACCCACGCACCUUCAGGGAGGAGGCGAGUGUCCCUGGAACCCAAGAUUAAGUGUGGGAUACAGGAAAGUGCUUGUGACGUGGAUGUGUUGUGCGGUAAAAUCAAAGGCACUGACAGAGUAAAGCGUGUGCCAAGUUUGCCCAUGGUAGCGUAAACUUGCCUUAGCUGUUUCCUGAAGAUAGGAGCUGGAAUUCUCCUGGGUAAAGCUGACUGAGCUCACACAUUUCACCCUUGGCCUACUUUGUUUAUCUCCAGACCAAUGAAGCAUUCUGUCUAGACCGUACAGUAUUUGCAAUGGCUCCUGUUGCUUCUUUCCCAAGCAUCUGGUUUUUCUCAGUCCCCCGUGUGACUCACCCUGCAUGGCCUUGUGUUAGGAUCCAAGAACUUCUGUGGAAUGUCCCAUCCUGUGCGCGGGUCACUGAAGACAUCUGUGGAAGCCUGGGGCCUGCCCUCCAAGGUGGCUUAUAAAACAAUACAAAGGAACAUAUUUGUGUGUGUGUGUGUGUGUGUGUGUGUGUGUGUGUGUGUAUAAAGAAUUUGAAAUAUUUGCCUGUGACUCUUUGCUAGACUUCAGAACAGCCAGAAUGCACCUGCCCUAGAGGUCUUCCGGGGAAUGGCUUACAGUGAGAACAUAAAGGUCCUAGAAGAGAUAUCAGCCAUCAUAUUUGCAGUUCCCUAUUGUUAGUGCCUCUUAUGUCACAGCAUGUGAUACUUUUGUUUUUCCUUGUUUUCUAAAAUCCCCACCAGUGAACAAAUCUUCAUUGAGAUUCGUUAAAUAUCAGCAACCGUGUUGUGCUAACUGCCUCACUGAGGUAGAACGCCCUGGUGUGUGUGUGUGUGUGUGUGUGUGUGUGUGUGUGUGUGUGUGUGUGUGUGUCCUGGGAAUGAUCAAGCUUUUGUCUUGCACACACUAGGAGAGAAUCCACUAAAGAACAAACACCAAGUCGUGGUUAUGAAGCAAGAAAAGGCUUUAUACAAGUAAGAAAGAUACUUGCGGCUCCCAAGGGAUCUAACAAAAGCACCCCAUGUAAGGGAACAUCAAGCAACAGGGGAUGGUGUGUCCCUAGACAUAAAUUGUAUGUGGCAGACACACUCUGUGGAGUCUAAAAAGAGAGCAUUGUUGGCAACUGGAGUUUGGAUGCUUUAGAAACAGCUUUGUGCUGGGCUUUGUAGGAGGGGCAGAAAUUGAAUGUCGAGUGCACAGUGAAGGCUCUUUAGGCCUUGUGCUACUUCAAACUUUCAAACUAGCUGCCAGUAGGCAGUUAAUAAUAACCUCCACAAUUCCACAAGAGAUAACCAGCAGCCUCAGGAGAUUAUGAGCCCAGAAACAGUGUGGUCCACUUUACUCUCUUAGGGACCAACCACCCAAACUCACCGUUCACCACGAUAGAGGCAUGGCGACACUCCGAGUCAGAGGGAAGCUCAUGUAGGUACUGAUGUGCUUAAUCUGAACUAUAAGAUGCACCCUUGUUAUUCACGAGGACAUUGCCAGACGGCAGACAGUGGCCCUAACCUCCUACACCUGGAUAAGUGAUAACCUGAGCCUACCUCACUGAAAACACCAGGAUAUGGAUUGGGCAGGAAGAGGCAUUAUGUAAAUAAGGAAGCUAUGGUUUCAAUGCCGCCAGUUAGACCCUUUCCAGAAACAGAUAGGAAGAAAUAAAGGAACUUGGAACUCUACUGUGGGAAACAGGGAGCGGACAGACUGCAGCAGGGUUUGCAGUAAGAGAAGAGCCAGAUAUGCUGAUGACAAGUGAACAUUUUGUCACUCACAAAAAAGCCUCAUUAUCAUUUGUCCUUUGGCUACACUAGAAAAAAUACUCAUGAAAGUGACAGCAAUUGAAUUAUUAGGACUUUUUAAUAUCCUUAUUUCACAGAAGAGGGAAUAUUGUUCUGUUAUAAAUGAAUACAAUGUUCGCUGGGUGAAAAUUGCAAAAUGUAUCUCCAACAUUUA